GGGCCCGUAGCUCAUUUGGUAGAGCGCGGCAUUCGCAUUGCCGAGGUGAGGGGUUCAAAUCCCCUCGGGUCCA
rnacentral:tRNA from 1 species